UACGGGGGGGGGCAAGCGUUGUUCGGAAUUACUGGGCGUAAAGGGCUCGUAGGCGGCCAACUAAGUCCGACGUGAAAUCCCCAGGCUCAACUCGGGAACUGCGUCCGAUACUGACAGGCUUGAAUCCGGGAGAGGGAUGCGGAAUUCCAGGUGUAGCGGUGAAAUGCGUAGAUAUCUGGAGGAACACCGGUGGCGAAGGCGGCAUCCUGGACCGGCAUUGACGCUGAGGCGCGAAAGCUAGGGGAGCAAACGGG
rnacentral:rRNA from 1 species